GUAUUUUCCUAUGCAGGAUCCUCCUACAAUAAUCUGAGUGAGAGAGGGAGCAGACGAUUCGGAGCUGAGGGAACAGCGGCACUCCGUGCGCCAUCUCAAAUUCCGGGGCGGGACGAGCCAAGUGUGGUCCUACACCCGACAAAGAGAUCUGAGGGGCGUCUGGCUGGAGCACCACCAGAUAACCUUCUAGCUGUUUCAGAGAGAGGCAGCCAUCCUCGCUGGAACAUCUGCAGAAACACAUGUGUCCAAUUGCCCGAUUGCAUCAUGCUUCCUCUCCACCAAUGCCGAUCCCUGCUCUGAUUGAGGAGAACAAAGCUAACCCACGCCCCCUCCGACACGUGGGCAGCAUGCCGUAUGCAUCUUAUCACCUACACUCUUAUCACCAGCACUGUGUACGGAGAGACACACUCUGAGAGCACUCUUUUCUCGUCUCUGUGCAAGCGCCAUCAAUCAGCCAGCAGAGGUCGUAAUUGCAUUAGUUAUGAGAGAGAGAGACCUUAUGCGGCUUAAUCCCACCCAUAUCUGAACAACAGGCCAAUCGUUGUUCAUGUGGCCGCUCAGCCUAGCCGGCAGGCAGAGCAGAGAUUUGAUACAAUGUACUCAAGAUCCCAGCUCUGGUUCCAGCAUGUGUUUUUACUGCUGUGCCACCUGAGCGUCCAUCUUAAUAAAUAAUUUUGAAACAAGCACAAAUGAAUGUGCUUGUUUCAGCAAGACACAGCCAAGCCACACAAUUCAAGUGUCUCAGCAUUGUGGCUUUUUAGUAAGAGAGUGCAGGUGAUAGACUGGUCUGCCUGCAGUCCAGACCUGUCUCCAACUAAAAAUGAAGCACAAUAUUUAAAAACGCUGUCCCGAGACUAUUUUAUAUUUUUGUUUUUAUGCAUUGUCUCCCCUUCUUUAUCCAAUUACCCAAUUGCAUUACGCUUCCUCUCAACUGAUGCCGAUCCCCGGCCUGAUUGAGGAGAGUGAGACUGACACACGUCCCCUCCAACACGUGUGCAGUAGCCAACUGCGAGUUUAUGUGGAUCAGCUUUGUGUACGGAAAGCCACACCCUGAUUAACGCAUUAUUCCUCAACUCUGUGCAGGUAGCAGAGGCCAGCAGAGGUCGUAACUGCCUCAGUUAUGAGGAGUCCCUAUCCGGUUUCCCACCCUGUAUGAACAACAGCCAAUCGUUGUUCAUGUAAGCGCCCAGCCCAGCCUAAUAGCAGAGCUGAGGUUUGAAAUGUAAGCUCUGGUGUGCUAGUGUGUUUUAUCUCUGCACCACCUGUGUCCCGAGACUAUUAAAAAAUAAAAAUUACGGAAUGUAGCAGUGGUAAUAAUUUUAUAGCCAUCAAAUUAAGA